GCUGGCGGCAGGCCUUAUACAUGCAAGUCGAGCGCAUCCUUCGGGAUGAGCGGCGGACGGGUGAGUAACGCGUGGGAAUGUGCCCUUCUCUACGGAAUAGCCACUGGAAACGGUGAGUAAUACUGUAUACGCCCUUAGGGGGAAAGAUUUAUCGGAGAAGGAUCAGCCCGCGUUAGAUUAGGUAGUUGGUGGGGUAACGGCCUACCAAGCCUACGAUCUAUAGCUGGUUUUAGAGGAUGAUCAGCCACACUGGGACUGAGACACGGCCCAGACUCCUACGGGAGGCAGCAGUAGGGAAUCUUGGACAAUGGGGGAAACCCUGAUCCAGCCAUGCCGCGUGAGUGAAGAAGGCCUUAGGGUCGUAAAGCUCUUUCGCCUGUGAUGAUAAUGACAGUAGCAGGUAAAGAAACCCCGGCUAACUCCGUGCCAGCAGCCGCGGUAAUACGGAGGGGGUUAGCGUUGUUCGGAAUUACUGGGCGUAAAGCGCGCGUAGGCGGAUUGGAAAGUUGGGGGUGAAAUCCCGGGGCUCAACCCCGGAACUGCCUCCAAAACUGCCAGUCUAGAGUUCGAGAGAGGUGAGUGGAACUCCAAGUGUAGAGGUGAAAUUCGUAGAUAUUUGGAAGAACACCAGUGGCGAAGGCGGCUCACUGGCUCGAUACUGACGCUGAGGUGCGAAAGUGUGGGGAGCAAACAGGAUUAGAUACCCUGGUAG
rnacentral:rRNA from 1 species